rnacentral:rRNA from 1 species
CCUACGGGUGGCUGCAGUCGGGAAUAUUGCGCAAUGGAGGAAACUCUGACGCAGUGACGCCGCGUGCAGGAAGAAGGUUUUCGGAUUGUAAACUGCUUUAGACAGGGAAGAAAAAGGACAGUACCUGUAGAAUAAGCUCCGGCUAACUACGUGCCAGCAGCCGCGGUAAUACGUAGGGAGCAAGCGUUAUCCGGAUUUAUUGGGUGUAAAGGGUGCGUAGACGGGAAGUCAAGUUGGUUGUGAAAUCCCUCGGCUCAACUGAGGAACUGCAACCAAAACUAACUUUCUUGAGUGCUGGAGAGGAAAGUGGAAUUCCUAGUGUAGCGGUGAAAUGCGUAGAUAUUAGGAGGAACACCAGUGGCGAAGGCGACUUUCUGGGCACCAACUGACGCUGAGGCUCGAAAGUGUGGGUAGCAAACAGGAUUAGAUACCCUUGUAGU